rnacentral:rRNA from 1 species
UACGGAGGGUGCGAGCGUUGUUCGGAAUUACUGGGCGUAAAGCGCACGUAGGCGGAUUGUUAAGUCAGGGGUGAAAUCCCGGGGCUCAACCCCGGAACUGCCUUUGAUACUGGCAUUCUCGAGUCCGGAAGAGGUGAGUGGAAUUCCGAGUGUAGAGGUGAAAUUCGUAGAUAUUCGGAGGAACACCAGUGGCGAAGGCGGCUCACUGGUCCGGAACUGACGCUGAGGUGCGAAAGCGUGGGGAGCAAACAGG